GUUAUAUGGUCAAGUGAAGAAGCGCAUACGGUGGAUGCCUUGGCAGUCAGAGGCGAUGAAAGACGUGGUAGCCUGCGAAAAGCUUCGGGGAGUCGGCAAACAGACUUUGAUCCGGAGAUGUCUGAAUGGGGGAACCCAGCCAUCAUAAGAUGGUUAUCUUGUACUGAAUACAUAGGUGCAAGAAGCGAACCAGGGGAACUGAAACAUCUAAGUACCCUGAGGAAAAGAAAUCAACCGAGAUUCCCUUAGUAGUGGCGAGCGAACGGGGACUAGCCCUUAAGUGGCUUUGAGAUUAGCGGAACGCUCUGGAAAGUGCGGCCAUAGUGGGUGAUAGCCCUGUACGCGAAAAUCUCUUAGUCAUGAAAUCGAGUAGGACGGAGCACGAGAAACUUUGUCUGAAUAUGGGGGGACCAUCCUCCAAGGCUAAAUACUACUGACUGACCGAUAGUGAACUAGUACCGUGAGGGAAAGGCGAAAAGAACCCCGGAGAGGGGAGUGAAAUAGAUCCUGAAACCGUAUGCGUACAAGCAGUGGGAGCCCACUUUGUUGGGUGACUGCGUACCUUUUGUAUAAUGGGUCAGCGACUUAUUUUCAGUGGCGAGCUUAACCGAAUAGGGGAGGCGUAGCGAAAGCGAGUCUUAAUAGGGCGUCUAGUCGCUGGGAAUAGACCCGAAACCGGGCGAUCUAUCCAUGGGCAGGUUGAAGGUUGGGUAACACUAACUGGAGGACCGAACCGACUACCGUUGAAAAGUUAGCGGAUGACCUGUGGAUCGGAGUGAAAGGCUAAUCAAGCUCGGAGAUAGCUGGUUCUCCUCGAAAGCUAUUUAGGUAGCGCCUCAUGUAUCACUGUAGGGGGUAGAGCACUGUUUCGGCUAGGGGGUCAUCCCGACUUACCAAACCGAUGCAAACUCCGAAUACCUACAAGUGCCGAGCAUGGGAGACACACGGCGGGUGCUAACGUCCGUCGUGAAAAGGGAAACAACCCAGACCGUCAGCUAAGGUCCCAAAGUUAUGGUUAAGUGGGAAACGAUGUGGGAAGGCUUAGACAGCUAGGAGGUUGGCUUAGAAGCAGCCACCCUUUAAAGAAAGCGUAAUAGCUCACUAGUCGAGUCGGCCUGCGCGGAAGAUGUAACGGGGCUCAAACCAUACACCGAAGCUACGGGUAUCACGUAAGUGAUGCGGUAGAGGAGCGUUCUGUAAGCCUGUGAAGGUGAGUUGAGAAGCUUGCUGGAGGUAUCAGAAGUGCGAAUGCUGACAUGAGUAACGACAAUGGGUGUGAAAAACACCCACGCCGAAAGACCAAGGUUUCCUGCGCAACGUUAAUCGACGCAGGGUUAGUCGGUCCCUAAGGCGAGGCUGAAAAGCGUAGUCGAUGGAAAACAGGUUAAUAUUCCUGUACUUCUGGUUAUUGCGAUGGAGGGACGGAGAAGGCUAGGCCAGCUUGGCGUUGGUUGUCCAAGUUUAAGGUGGUAGGCUGGAAUCUUAGGUAAAUCCGGGAUUCUAAGGCCGAGAGCUGAUGACGAGUUA
rnacentral:rRNA from 1 species